UGACUGCGGAGGAUCAUUACCGAACCGUCAACACGAGUUGUUGCUGGCCCCUCGAAAGGAGGGCAUGUGCACGCUCUGUUUACAUAUCCACUCACACCUGUGCACUCUCUGUAGUUCUGUGGCCUGAGGGACCCUGUCCCUCUGCUGCGGUUCUACGUCUUUAUACACACCCUGUAGUGAAGUCUUAUGGAAUGUGUGCCGCGUUUAACGCAAUGAAAUACAACUUUCAGCAACGGAUCUCUUGGCUCUCGCAUCGAUGAAGAACGCAGCGAAAUGCGAUAAGUAAUGUGAAUUGCAGAAUUCAGUGAAUCAUCGAAUCUUUGAACGCACCUUGCGCCCCUUGGCUAUUCCGAAGGGCAUGCCUGUUUGAGUAUCAUGAACACCUCAACCGUCGUGGUUCGCCACGAUUGGCUUGGACUUUGGAGGUUCUGCUGGCCCCCCUGUGGUCGGCUCCUCUCAAAUGAAUUAGCUUACCAGUGUUUGGUGGCGUUGCAGGUGUGAUAACUAUCUACGCUUGUGGCCGUCCGCCAUACAACCUUCAGCGAUGAGGGUUCGCUGGGGCUCACAGAUGUCUCUCCUGAGCGAAGACAGCUUUUUGAACGUUCGAUCUCAAAUCAGGUAGGACUACCCGCUGAACUUAAGCAUAUCAAUA
rnacentral:sRNA from 1 species